rnacentral:lncRNA from 1 species
UCCAGGCUGGGCGACAGAGCGAGACUCUGUCUCAAAAAAAAAAAGAAAGAAAAAAAAGAGUAAGCAGGAGUUCACAAGGUGUGGGAGACUGCUGUGUGUUCACCAAGCCUCAUCUUUCACACCUGGGCACAUGUUGUAGCCCGUUUGCAAAGAUAGCCGUAAUAUUCUCCUGUCCCUGGACAUGCCCUUUGCAAGUUGAUUUUGCCAUUCCUCCCAUUGAGAAGGCACUUUGUCCCCUACUAGUCUGGGUAAGCCUUGAGAGUUGCUUUGACCAAUAGAAUUUGCUAGAAGUGAUAUUGAGCCUAGGCCUGAAGAGGCCUUGUAGCUUCCACUCCUGCCCUAAGACUGUUGCAUGAAGAUACCCAGACUAGUGUCUUUGCAGAUGAACAAUCAUGGUGAAAGAGAAGCCCAGCCGGCAGCCAGCACCAAUCGCCAGCUGUGUGAGUGUGGCCAUCCUGGAUCAUCCAGCCCCAGCUGCCCCACCAGCUGACAGCAGCCACACAAGUGACCCCAGUUGAGACCAAUAAAAGAUCUGCCCAUCUGAUACAGCCCAAACUGCUGAACCCCAGAAUCAUGAACAAAUAAGUAAAAGAAAAGAACACUGGUUGUAUUUUAUGGUUGCACUAUGUCCAGCAGAAAAAGGCAUUCCUCAGUCUCCUUGCAGCAAGCAUCAUCCCUCACCUGGACUCUGCAAAAGCCUACUCGUGGGUCUGUCUGCAUCCCUGUCUGCCUCCUCCAGGGCCAUUCUCCACCCAGUGGCCGGAUCGAUUUUUCAAAGAGGUAAAUCAGAUCAAUUCACCUUUCUGCUUAAAACCCUCCGAGGGCUGCCCGUAACAUGUAGAAUAAAAUAGAGACCCCUUCCCGGGGACUUCAAGGUGCUAUAUGGCCUGGCCCCUUGCUGACCUUACUUCACUCUGGGCUCGCUAGCCUUGCUGUCCCUCAAACAUGCUGAGCUCGCUCCCACCACAGGGCCUUUUCCCUUUUCUUCCUUCUGCCUGGAAUGUUCUUCUCCCCACCUCCCAAGCCCCAUCUUCCCAGGGCUGACUCCUGUUCCCAUUUGGGUCUCAAAUCAUAUCAGUACCUUCUCAGAGAGGCCUUCCCUCACUGCUCAUCCCUUCACCUUUAGAACACUUUCUUUUCUUUUAAGAGACAAAGUCAGCCCAGUGCGGUGGCUCACGCCUGUAAUACCAGCACU